AGCGUACACGGUGGAUGCCCUGGCAGUCAGAGGCGAUGAAGGACGUGCUAAUCUGCGAUAAGCGUCGGUAAGGUGAUAUGAACCGUUAUAACCGGCGAUUUCCGAAUGGGGAAACCCAGUGUGUUUCGACACACUAUCAUUAACUGAAUCCAUAGGUUAAUGAGGCGAACCGGGGGAACUGAAACAUCUAAGUACCCCGAGGAAAAGAAAUCAACCGAGAUUCCCCCAGUAGCGGCGAGCGAACGGGGAGCAGCCCAGAGCCUGAAUCAGUGUGUGUGUUAGUGGAAGCGUCUGGAAAGGCGCGCGAUACAGGGUGACAGCCCCGUACACAAAAAUGCACAUGCUGUGAGCUCGAUGAGUAGGGCGGGACACGUGGUAUCCUGUCUGAAUAUGGGGGGACCAUCCUCCAAGGCUAAAUACUCCUGACUGACCGAUAGUGAACCAGUACCGUGAGGGAAAGGCGAAAAGAACCCCGGCGAGGGGAGUGAAAAAGAACCUGAAACCGUGUACGUACAAGCAGUGGGAGCACGCUUAGGCGUGUGACUGCGUACCUUUUGUAUAAUGGGUCAGCGACUUAUAUUCUGUAGCAAGGUUAACCGAAUAGGGGAGCCGAAGGGAAACCGAGUCUUAACUGGGCGUUAAGUUGCAGGGUAUAGACCCGAAACCCGGUGAUCUAGCCAUGGGCAGGUUGAAGGUUGGGUAACACUAACUGGAGGACCGAACCGACUAAUGUUGAAAAAUUAGCGGAUGACUUGUGGCUGGGGGUGAAAGGCCAAUCAAACCGGGAGAUAGCUGGUUCUCCCCGAAAGCUAUUUAGGUAGCGCCUCGUGAAUUCAUCUCCGGGGGUAGAGCACUGUUUCGGCAAGGGGGUCAUCCCGACUUACCAACCCGAUGCAAACUGCGAAUACCGGAGAAUGUUAUCACGGGAGACACACGGCGGGUGCUAACGUCCGUCGUGAAGAGGGAAACAACCCAGACCGCCAGCUAAGGUCCCAAAGUCAUGGUUAAGUGGGAAACGAUGUGGGAAGGCCCAGACAGCCAGGAUGUUGGCUUAGAAGCAGCCAUCAUUUAAAGAAAGCGUAAUAGCUCACUGGUCGAGUCGGCCUGCGCGGAAGAUGUAACGGGGCUAAACCAUGCACCGAAGCUGCGGCAGCGACGCUGAUGCGUUGUUGGGUAGGGGAGCGUUCUGUAAGCCUGCGAAGGUGUGCUGUGAGGCAUGCUGGAGGUAUCAGAAGUGCGAAUGCUGACAUAAGUAACGAUAAAGCGGGUGAAAAGCCCGCUCGCCGGAAGACCAAGGGUUCCUGUCCAACGUUAAUCGGGGCAGGGUGAGUCGACCCCUAAGGCGAGGCCGAAAGGCGUAGUCGAUGGGAAACAGGUUAAUAUUCCUGUACUUGGUGUUACUGCGAAGGGGGGACGGAGAAGGCUAUGUUGGCCGGGCGACGGUUGUCCCGGUUUAAGCGUGUAGGCUGGUUUUCCAGGCAAAUCCGGAAAAUCAAGGCUGAGGCGUGAUGACGAGGCACUACGGUGCUGAAGCAACAAAUGCCCUGCUUCCAGGAAAAGCCUCUAAGCAUCAGGUAACAUCAAAUCGUACCCCAAACCGACACAGGUGGUCAGGUAGAGAAUACCAAGGCGCUUGAGAGAACUCGGGUGAAGGAACUAGGCAAAAUGGUGCCGUAACUUCGGGAGAAGGCACGCUGAUAUGUAGGUGAAGUCCCUCGCGGAUGGAGCUGAAAUCAGUCGAAGAUACCAGCUGGCUGCAACUGUUUAUUAAAAACACAGCACUGUGCAAACACGAAAGUGGACGUAUACGGUGUGACGCCUGCCCGGUGCCGGAAGGUUAAUUGAUGGGGUCAGCGCAAGCGAAGCUCUUGAUCGAAGCCCCGGUAAACGGCGGCCGUAACUAUAACGGUCCUAAGGUAGCGAAAUUCCUUGUCGGGUAAGUUCCGACCUGCACGAAUGGCGUAAUGAUGGCCAGGCUGUCUCCACCCGAGACUCAGUGAAAUUGAACUCGCUGUGAAGAUGCAGUGUACCCGCGGCAAGACGGAAAGACCCCGUGAACCUUUACUAUAGCUUGACACUGAACAUUGAGCCUUGAUGUGUAGGAUAGGUGGGAGGCUUUGAAGUGUGGACGCCAGUCUGCAUGGAGCCGACCUUGAAAUACCACCCUUUAAUGUUUGAUGUUCUAACGUUGACCCGUAAUCCGGGUUGCGGACAGUGUCUGGUGGGUAGUUUGACUGGGGCGGUCUCCUCCUAAAGAGUAACGGAGGAGCACGAAGGUUGGCUAAUCCUGGUCGGACAUCAGGAGGUUAGUGCAAUGGCAUAAGCCAGCUUGACUGCGAGCGUGACGGCGCGAGCAGGUGCGAAAGCAGGUCAUAGUGAUCCGGUGGUUCUGAAUGGAAGGGCCAUCGCUCAACGGAUAAAAGGUACUCCGGGGAUAACAGGCUGAUACCGCCCAAGAGUUCAUAUCGACGGCGGUGUUUGGCACCUCGAUGUCGGCUCAUCACAUCCUGGGGCUGAAGUAGGUCCCAAGGGUAUGGCUGUUCGCCAUUUAAAGUGGUACGCGAGCUGGGUUUAGAACGUCGUGAGACAGUUCGGUCCCUAUCUGCCGUGGGCGCUGGAGAACUGAGGGGGGCUGCUCCUAGUACGAGAGGACCGGAGUGGACGCAUCACUGGUGUUCGGGUUGUCAUGCCAAUGGCACUGCCCGGUAGCUAAAUGCGGAAGAGAUAAGUGCUGAAAGCAUCUAAGCACGAAACUUGCCCCGAGAUGAGUUCUCCCUGACUCCUUGA
rnacentral:rRNA from 1 species